UCCUGGACCUGUCAAGCAGUCUUCUUGAUUAGAAAUUCAAUUACAUCGGCAUCAGAGGUACCAUACAGUGUAGGUCUCUAUGGAUUAUCUCCAUCUUCUUCACAGCCUUAAAUUACUAAGAGCUACCUUUCCCAAGACAUUGUGGGCUACGUGAUGCUAAAAAUCCAUCAAAAUCGUACAAGGAUGGCCAUCUCGAGAUCAGUAUCGACUGUCAAAAGAAACCGUCACCAAUAUGCUGGAAGCCGAAAUGAAGAGGGACACACAGAGGAUUGAUCAACUUCCUGUUUAUUUGCAGGUGUUGACAACUCUCCAUUUUUAUGCAGUGGGAUCAUUUUAAAAGAUGCAUGGUGAUGAGGCAGCAAUAUCGCAGUCAUCAAUGUGUCAGAAGCUAAAGCAAGAAGGAAGAGGCAAUACAUGAAGAUUCCCACAACAAGAGAAGUUGAAGCAACUC